rnacentral:misc_RNA from 1 species
GCAAACUUGGUCAUUUAGAGGAAGUAAAAGUCGUAACAAGGUUUCCGUAGGUGAACCUGCGGAAGGAUCAUUAUUGAAUGUUUGAAGCAGUUGAGCUGGUCUUAACGGACAAGUGCUUGCUGCUUCUAUUCAUCUUAUCCACCUGUGCACUUUCUGUAGAGCUUUGAAGAACGUCUUAGUUAACUCUUGAGACUAGUAAUCAGGUUCUAUGUAUCUUAUAAACUCUAUGAAUGUCUUGAAUGUCUUUAUUAUUGGGACUUAAUUGACCCUUUAAACUUUGUACAACUUUCAGCAACGGAUCUCUUGGCUCUCGCAUCGAUGAAGAACGCAGC